GGGCACUUCGGUGCUAGUGGCAGACGGGUGAGUAACACGUGGGAACGUACCUUUCGGUUCGGAAUAAUUCAGGGAAACUUGGACUAAUACCGGAUACGCCCUUCGGGGGAAAGAUUUAUCGCCGAAAGAUCGGCCCGCGUCUGAUUAGCUAGUUGGUGAGGUAAAGGCUCACCAAGGCGACGAUCAGUAGCUGGUCUGAGAGGAUGAUCAGCCACAUUGGGACUGAGACACGGCCCAAACUCCUACGGGAGGCAGCAGUGGGGAAUAUUGGACAAUGGGCGCAAGCCUGAUCCAGCCAUGCCGCGUGAGUGAUGAAGGCCUUAGGGUUGUAAAGCUCUUUUGUCCGGGAAGAUAAUGACUGUACCGGAAGAAUAAGCCCCGGCUAACUUCGUGCCAGCAGCCGCGGUAAUACGAAGGGGGCUAGCGUUGCUCGGAAUCACUGGGCGUAAAGGGCGCGUAGGCGGACUUUUAAGUCGGAGGUGAAAGCCCAGGGCUCAACCCUGGAAUUGCCUUCGAUACUGGGAGUCUUGAGUUCGGAAGAGGUUGGUGGAACUGCGAGUGUAGAGGUGAAAUUCGUAGAUAUUCGCAAGAACACCGGUGGCGAAGGCGGCCAACUGGUCCGAAACUGACGCUGAGGCGCGAAAGCGUGGGGAGCAAACAGGAUUAGAUACCCUGGUAGUCCACGCCGUAAACGUGAAUGCCAGCCGUUGGGGAGCUU
rnacentral:rRNA from 2 species